GGUGAAACAAUAACCACCAAUCAGCACAGGCAGGGCAACUUAUACAACAGGUACAUUUUGUAUACAUAAAACAUAAUGCAUGCUGUCUUGAGCUCCUAUGAGGAAAGGCAACUUAUAAGCAGAUUCUUAUUUUUAUUGGGCAGCAAAGCAGCCUCUGGAGGCUGAGGAUUUCAAUGGUAGAGCAGCUGGGGAGGGGCUACUUAACCCUUUCCCUUCCAGAUACUUUUCUAUUUGAAAAUGCUCCCUCCCUAAGCUGCUUUUGCUUGUUUGUGGUGUGGGGGCAGGGGAGGAUGUGGUGCAUUCAGCUGUAUCUUUUUCUUUGGGUGGUGAUCAGCAGCUUUGAGGUGGGAUUUUGAGUUUUAAGACAACGUUUUGGAAGGGUUAAAUAAUCCUCCACAGGCUAUUUUUAUUUUUUAUUUUUUUAAUAGUGCUGCAUGGAAUAUCCAUUUUGGCCCUAAGAAACAUUGUAAACAACAUCCUCUUCCUGUACCCCAAAUCUGAAGAUACAGUAUAAAUAUACGUAAAUGAUCUGCUGGAAGUGUAGCCAUUAUAAACCAAUCAGUAUGCUGUUUGGUUCUGAGCCAAUCUAAAGAGCUCUGUACUCAAAACGAAACAAUUGUGUUAUUAGGGCAGGUCAAUCACAUUGGCAUAAAGUUGUCAACAAUCAUGUUAGUUUUCCUUCCGUGAUCGGAGUGACUGAAUCCCAAGCCCUCAUUCCAAAAGCGCACUCAAUGGGUUUCGGAGUUCCACCGUCAGCUGAUCUCUAGUUAUAUCGUGGGCCUAAAGAAUUAUAUUCAGCUUAACAAUACAAAAGCAGAAGGGGGAAGGAAAAGAUACGAGGAUCUCUGUAUAAACACCUUAAUGCAGAUGUGAACUUGCAACCUUCACAUGUUUGUCAUUUACAAGAGUUUCAAGUCUGCCCAAAUCUGGUCAGAACCAGGGCCAGCUCAAGAGCCAGGAAGCCAAUAAGCUGGCAGAUGCUCUGAUGCCCACCUUUUAUCCCACUUUUCCUCCCAUUUGGAGAUCACAAGUGGCUGACAAACUCAGGAAUGAUGAUGAUGAUGCAUCAGAGGGAGAAAAGGGAAGCUGGUCUACUCCUCCCGCUUUGCUGAGACCAGCUGCUCAUGGUUUUUCUCCUUCAUCUGUCAGCCAACAGCAUCGAUUCCAUCAGGCUACCGGAGCUCUUUCCAUCCCAGCUGGCCACUGUAAAAACUGAUGCUGAAGUUUGCUCUCAUCCCCACCCCCAGCUGAAUCUCUUUAACCUUUUGUAACUUUCAAAUGAAGGACUUUAUACAAUUUUAAUAAAUAAAAUAAAUAAUAAACCUGAGGACAGGGACUGCCUUUUUUAUUGAUCAGUAAGUUGUUCUGGGACACUUUUUGCCAAAGAGUGGGAUUCUUAAAAUGCUUUAAAUAACAAACUGAGCAUUGAAACCAUGUUGAGCAGAGCAACUUAAAGCAGGGUUUACUCAGAGGUUAGUCCCCUUGUGUCCAAUGGAUCUUACUCUUGAGUAAACAUGUUUGCAGCCAUGUAGGAUAUUUCUGAGCAUGCUAAAUGGAACUUACCCCCAGGUAAGUGUGCAUGGGAUUAUUAAACAUGUUAUAAUAAUGCUUACCAUUGGGACAAUACUUUCAGAUAUUUAAAGUGCUUCACAUGCAUUAUUCAUUGUAAUCUUAAUAAGAACCGUGUAAAGCAGUAUUUGCCAACGUGAUGCUCUCUGGAUGUUUUGGACUACAACUCCCAUCAGCCUCCACCAGCGUGGCUAAUUAUAAGAGAUGGUUCAAACUGUAGUCCAAAACUUCUAGAGUUGGAGAAAUAAGUCAAUGCUACUAUCACCUUAUACUGCAAUCUAUGAAGUGCUAAGCCUACUUGUGAGCAGUAUGCUUUUGUACAGUAAUAACAGGUAGGAGACACCAAGUACAACGCAGGAGGUUGAAUUUUGCAUCAUCCAUGAACCAUAGGCAAGCUGCUCUCUCUCUCUGCCUCAGUCCUAUCUGCAGUAUAGAAGAUAAUAAACACUGUCAUCUUACAGGGUUGUUGUAAGGACUGCAACUAAAUAAUGGAUGUGAAGUGCUCUGAACACUUGAAAGCAACACAUCUGUAUUAAGUAAUACUAUUAUCAGCUCCCCAUGAAAUGUACUUCCAUUUCCUGGUUUGUUUGUUUUUUGUACCUAAGAAACUGUUCACAAGGCGGAUGGAUAUUAGAGAGAAGAGGGAUGGCAUCUGCAUUGUUCCAGCAAGUCUCUUCACCCCCCAGAUGCAUACAAUAGACAAGGUGGAGAAGAAGGGGAACGCACAUCCCAUUGAAAGUAAGCUGGACGUGCCUUUGAAUUUGGAUGCGGUCCCUCCUCACAGACUUUGAAGUGGAAUCUUAUUCAGAUAUACAUCUUGAAUGUACCCACCCCAGUGAUAACAUAACUACAGGGGACCAGAAAUGGAUCGAGGCUCUUUUACACUGCUGGGAUGACACACACUAUACAAUGACACAGAAAGGGGCCUUCUGUACAAAGGAGGGACCUUGCUUGUGGCAUGCUCUCCCUUUGGAAACACACUUGGUUGCUGACACUUCUGUCAUUUCAGCAGCAUGUAAAGACCCACCUGCUGCUCAGGCAUCUAGAGUAUUUUAGAGUAUGACCGAGAGUGAGUAGGCCACCUUGUACCUUUAAGCAGCAUUUUUCAUUUCAAUGAGUUCUUUCAAGGUGCCCUUACAUUGAUUUAUACUUUUGAUUGUUUUCAGCUGAUUUCAUUUAUUCAGUGUAUUUUUAAUGUGUGCGCUGCACCUUGACCUGAGAUCUAUUAUGAUGAUGAAGGGUGGGCUAAAAAAUAUCCUUAAAAAAUAAAUAAGACUCAAAAAUUGUCCUGCAGGGGUCCCUGGCCACUAACUAACCAGCUAGCAUGGUGUAGUGGUUAAGAGUGGUGGUUUUGUAAUCUGGUGAACUGGGUUUGCGUCUCUGCUCCUCCACAUGCAGCUGCUGGGUGACCUUGGGCUAGUCACACUUCUCUGAAGUCUCUCAGCCCCACUCACCUCACAGAGUGUUUGUUGUGGGGGAGGCAGGGAAAGGAGAAUGUUAGCCACUGAGACUCCUUCGGGUAGUGAUAAAGCGGGAUAUCAAAUCCAAACUCCUCCUCCUCCAUGGCUAGACAAAGCAAGUACACCUGUCCUUGCCUGAGCAAGUGGGGAUGGAGGUCUUUGUUUGCCCAGUAUAUCAGGGUUAUGAAUAGGCAAGAAUGCUAAUUCAAAAUGCAGUGUAUCCAUUUCUUUAGUAUGUUGAUACUCUAGGCUUUCCAUAAAAAUGCCCAAAACAAAAAAAAUCCACAUGAAAAAAGUGACCAAUAGAAACCCAUUUCAAAGUGCACCAGAAACUGAACUUCACUAAAGUGCCUCGCAUGAGAACAUGCACACACAGUGCUGGAUUUACGUAUAAGCUAAACAAGAUAUAGCUUAGGGCCCCACUCUCUUGGGGGCCCUCAAAAAAAUUAAAGGAAAGAAAGCUGGACAUACAUUUCCAAAAUAUAAGAUAAAAAACAAAUAAAAUAAAACCUACAUACAGCAACAGUGUUUGUGUUGUGUAGGCUCCUAUGAUGUAAGUAAUGAUGCAAGCCUCCUGUGAUGCAAGCCUGCUAGCCUGCUCCCUAAAAUAUCACUGGUUUGCUCAUUUCUAUAUACAGGGUGCCUACAUUCUGCAUGGACUGUUAUGUGCAAUUGGCUUUAAAAGGUAAAGGGACCCCUGACCAUUAGGUCCAGUCGUGGCCGACUCUGGGGUUGCUGCGCUCAUCUUGCUUUAUUGGGUGAGGGACCCGGCGUACAGCUUCUGGGUCAUAUGGCCAACAUGACUAAGCCGCUUCUGGCGAACCAGAGCAGUGCACGGAAACGCUGUUUACCUUCCCGCCAGAGUGGUACCUAUUUAUCUACUUGCACUUUGACGUGCUUCCGAACUGCUAGGUUGGCAGGAGCAGGGACCGAGCAAAGGAAGAUUACCCCGUUGCGGGGUUUCAAACUGCCGACCUUCUGAUCGGCAAGUCCUAGGCUCUGUGGUUUAACCCGCAGCGCCACCCGCGUCCCUUUGUAUACAAGCACCCUGUACAUAUUCUAUAUACAGGGUGCCUGCAUUCUGCAUGGACUGUUAUGUGCAAUUGGCUUUAGGUACCUAUAAUUAGGUCCAUAAAUUACCAUAUAGCAUAUAUUCAACACAAAAAAACAGCAACAAAUUGUUGUUGACAAAGGACAGCUGGGCAUAUAAAGGACCCCAUUACCUUCAUUUCCCCAUUACCAAUAUCGAGGGAGAAAGUAUGAGAGGACUAGCCUGAACCAACCUCCCAUCCAAGGGAAACUAAGCUUUGAAGCAGGCUGCCUAUUUGAUGCUUCCUUGUCACUGGGUUGCACUUUUUUGAGGGAGGUGAAGUGUAUAUUUAUCCACCUUUCUAGGGAUCAGCCUCCCAUUACACAACAAGGCAGAGCGGAGGGGUGGGGGGGAGCCAGAUUCCCCACCAGUAGCCUCCGGGAGUGCAAUUAAACCCUUGGGGGAGGGAAGGAGGGACCCCCUUGAAGCAGUCAUCAGCUCCUUCCUCUCUAACCCCCGAGUGCUUCAGCUCUCCCAAACCACAAGGACUUUGGAUGAUGGAGCUGGCGCCAGCAGGUUCCCUAAAGAGUUCAGAAGUCAAGAACUUGAGGCAGGUAGGGCGGGUGCGGCGGGGGAAACCCGAUCGCCUACAGACAAGGCGCUGCAGGAAGGAAGGGAAGGGGAAGAUCCUGCUGGCCAGAAGAGGGGGGAUCAGGGCCCUUUCUCUUGGGAGGGGAAGGAACAACAGGAUAUAGCCUCUGAGAGGCGCGGGGAGGGAGAGAGCUGCGUGUUAGCCUGUCUGGUUUGGCACGAGGAGGUCGCGUUUUCCCAUUGCUUCAAAUAGAAACGAGUGGCACUUUUCUCAAGCAGAAGUUCAGGAGGCUCAGCUUUGAAUGCUGGAAUGGGCCGCUGGCAGGGUUCUUCUUCUGUUAUUAUGUCAGAUACGUAGGGUUGCCAUAUUUCAAAGAGCAUUUGCCGACUUCUGCUUUUAGCUAUGGAUCGCUUUGACAACCGUGCCACCCAUGAAAAGGAGGACUUGUCCUGGAAAAAGAGUCCUGACUAAUUCGAGGAGUUCCUAAGGAUUAGCUCCAAGUACAGAGGCAUUCAGAUGUUCGGUUUUCAUUAAUGAGAAAGUCCUCGAAGAUCUUCCUCAUUCUCACACCUGUGUUUGCUGACAAUCUCGGGAUAAACAAGGCUUGUGGCCCUGCGUGUGGAUCACUGAGUAGUAGAAAUUAAAUGGCUG